CCGGUUUCCCCAAUCUACCUCACUCCUUUUCCACUAAUCCUCAUAAAUAUCCUAAAUCAUUGAUUUAGGAAAAUGAGAUAAUUAGAUCAGAUCUACAGCAGCAAGGCCGCAAAGGGGACAAUCCCGGCGGCAAAUCCGGCGGCUGCGAUUCUAUUCAAAGCGGCUCCGCUUGCAGCAGGGGCUUUCGCGGGAGAGCCGGCGGGAGUACCAGCAGGCUCAGCGUCAGUGGGAGCAAGGUCAGGAGUCGAUGCCGGGGGAGCGAGGGGAGACUGAGCCGAGGACUCAUUGACCGGAGAAGCAGCCGGGGGCAUGGUCGUCGUCGGAGCGGGAGAUGAUUUGGGAGAAGAGGUCGGGGGCUUCACGGCGGGAGACGACGUAGAAGCAGGAGGAGUGACGGUGGGAGUGGCAGGAGUGGGUGAGCCCGACGGGGAAGCAACCUGCACAGCUCCGGGCUCCUGAGCACUGGCGGAUCCGGCCACCAAGGCAGCAUUAUGUUCAAUAAGGAUUAUAAGGAAAGUCCCAGACCUUGCAGAAAAUUUUAUAAAUUCUGCUGCUUCCCCGAUUAAAGAAAAGCACCAUGGAGUUUUAAUAACUGGGGUUUAGCUUUGUACAAUUCUAUGCAAAGUCAGUCCAGAGGCCCUUGAAUAUUUUAGGAAGAUUGACGAUUUCAAGGGUUGUUUGGAUCGUUGGCUAAGCAAGUGGAUAUUGCCUAGAGAGGUGGACUCUAGACUAAUUAAAGAGUGACCGGACGAGGGGAUAUCAUUUGAAGAAGGCGAACUCUAGCCUUACCCAAGGAGUGUUGUAAAGGUUUGUUCCGUCCGUUAAAAGAACAGGUUUAGUGAAUCCUUUGGUGGUUUACCAAAGGCGAGGACUUAGGCUGGGUAUAAGCCAAAUCUCGUAAAAAUCUCCGUCUCACUCUUUCUUUCCCUAUUUUUUAUUUUCAGUACAUAUUUAAAUUGAGUGGAUUGUUUAAAUUUAAAAUCAUAUAAACUACGUAAAUUUGGAAAUCAAGUAAACCUUAAAGUUUGAUUUUGAUUUGGGUUGCGGAAACCGAAAGGGAGUACGUUGGUUGAACCAUUCUUUGCGGAAACCAUACGGGAGUACGUUAAUUGGCUAAACAUCCCAAAGAUAAAUUAACUUAAGAGUUUAUUUGAAUUCUGAAGUUUGCAAAGAGUAAUUGGAUUUUAUAUUGAACAUCAUAUUGAAGAAGAAAUUUCAUAUAUACAGGGCUUUGUUCAAAACUCACAUUCACCACAGGGCUGAAAACAUCAAAAGUUGAAAGUUACAUAUAUUAUAUUGAUUGUGAUUAGAUGGUAUAAAGAUUUGUUUUAUAUUCCAAGAGUCUUAAAUCUUGAAUGAUUUCAUCAAUCUAAUAGUGCUGCAGUGAACUUAUAUUUGGUAAAUAAAUUGUGGUUGUGUUGGUUUGGAAAUUGUGAUUAAUUGUUUGAUUGUUUUUACUUUCAAAGUGUGGUUGAAGAUUUAAUGUUUAAUUGUGUUGUUGCUUGAUUGUUCAAAAGAAAUCAAGUUCUUGUUUGAUUGACAAAAUAAAUAAACAAGUCAAAUAAUUGGUUAAAUCACAAAAGAAGUUACGGACUUUAAAAGAACUAAAGAGAAAGUUUUAAAAAGCUAAUUCUUCCCCCCUCUUGGGAAGUUAUUCCUAAUUUCAAAAGUCAAUGAAAGUGGGCACAUCGCAAUGAUAAAUGGGUUCUCUGUAAGUGUUGGUUUUACUGGUAAAGAAACUAAAGGGAAAAUUGAUCAAUCUCGAAAAACAUCUGAAAAGCAGCUUCACACGUGGAAAUGGGAUCUUUGACAAUAAUGAAGGAGAAAAGUCUUCCUCACAAAAAACUACAAAGAAGCUGCAUAAUGGAUCAGUUGAGCCCAAGUCAGUCAAUGCUUUUCAAAGAGUGAAGAUUGAUGAGGUGAUUUUUGCUGAUCAGAGGCUUCAAGAUAAUUCUUAUUGGGCAAAGGUUUGAUAAGUAAUUUAGUCCCUCCCUCCCCCAUCCACCCCCACCCCAACCAAAAAAUGAAAAAGGAAACUCACAUAAAAAAAAAAAAAAGUUUUUCUUAUUGGUUCAUUUUUCUAUAAAUUCUCCUAAGGAUGGUGCAGAAAUUGGCUAUGGAGCUAAAGCACAAGAAGUUUUGGGGCAGGUUAGAGGAAGGUAUGUUUUACCAUCAGUUCAUAUACAUCACUUAAUAAAGCUGAAAGAUGUAUGGUGUUCAUUCUUUUUUCUGGGCAUACUAGGGAUAGCAACAUAGAUAGUCAAGUUUUGGAGUUCUCUUUUGAUCUUCUAAAUUUUUUAUAUGGGUUGGAACCCCCUUGAUGGCUUUUAGUAAUUUUUCUUGUCCAUGGCUAAAAAAUCAGUGUUUGCUUUGUUAUUGGCAAUGUUUUAAAAGGAAAAUGCUUAUGGCAAGGUUUUUUAACCCUUCCGGGGUGAGGCGUAAGCCUUUUUGAGAACAUUAUCUUUUAGGUAAUAAUAUGCAAAAAAUAAAGUGCAUAUGUUUUUAAAAAAUAAAGAAAAGAAAAAGAAAACUGCAAAUUCAAUGUAAAAAAUCCAAAUAUGAUUUGUAGACUACUUCUCCAAUUAAAAAAAAAAAAAAAACUAACUUGAAUUCAUUAAGUAAACCAUCCAAGAGAUGGUUUAUAACCGUUCAAAUCGUUUCAAGAUCUAACAUGUAACUCUCAAGUGUUUUGGAUAGGUUGAGUUUGAAGAGUUUUAUCACGAACUCAUAUUAGGACAUUCCUUUCAUACAAACACAUCCAAAUUUUCUAACUAAAUUUGACUUGGGAUUCACUCACCAAAGCUGCAUCAAACUCAAUUAGAAAAAGCGCAAAAAUGCACCUCUUGUAGAGAUGUGUAGGCCUCAGUGUGUAAUGUGUUGGCCUUUCUGGGAUUUGAUAUUUCAGACUUAGCCUCAUAGUGACCUUUGAUUGAGCCUUCUAAAACAUUGGUUAUUUGGAAAUGGUUCUUAUUUUUCACUUGCUUUCGUUAAUUAUGGUUCAUGUCCCUUAAUAUGGGUCAAAUUAGAUGGAGAAUUUUUCACAUUAAAUUUGUUUCUUCUCAUCUAAACACUUGUAGCUUCAAUAUAAACUGUUCUUCAAGAGAAUUAGUCAAAUGGAGACUUUAUUGAAUUUUCAAACCCUUUACAAAAGAUGAGGAAUAAAAAAAAUUGCAAAUAAUUCAAAAGAGAGAUAAAAAUAGAAAGAUUUUGUUUACUUUGAUUCUAGAGGCUUUUGGAGAAGGUUUCAAGGCUUUUUGCAUUUAAAAAUAGUGGCUUUUUAAAAUUAUUAAAUAAUAGGGUUUGAUUGGGAACCAAUUGGAUCUGGGUUGGAUGUGCACGCUUAUUGAAUUGUGAAGUGUUAAUUUGAAUCGAGAAUCGUAAUAUUCAUGAUCAAUUCUUUCCUACUUUAAUUUUUUUUUGUUAAAUUUGAACUGAAGGCUAGUGUGUUGAAUCAAAAGUGUAAUUCAUUUUCAUAACUAUGUUGUGCACCACUCCUUGUUGAUUGUAAUAGAAUAGAGAAUGUUAGAUUGUGCUCUGAACAUUAUGGGAAUCACUUGAAGGUUGCAGCAAGCUUGGUUUUGGGGGAGUUAUGGGCUUGGAAGGGUAUUCUGACUACCGAGAAAGGAACAUGAUUGUUGACCCAAUCCCCUUUAUUGUUUUUUGGCUUGUCAGAAAGGAAAGGGAUACGAGGGCUUUUGAGGGAGCGAAAAAUUCUCUCAAUACUGUAAAGGAUAUGUGGCUUACAA